UGGGGAAUAUUGCACAAUGGAGGGAACUCUGAUGCAGCGACGCCGCGUGAGUGAUGAAGGAAUUCGUUUCGUAAAACUCUGUUCUAUGGGAAGAAAAGGACUGUACCAUAGGAGAAAGCUCCGGCUAAAUACGUGCCAGCAGCCGCGGUAAUACGUAUGGAGCGAGCGUUGUCCGGAAUUAUUGGGCGUAAAGGGUGCGCAGGCGGCUUUACAAGUUGGAUGUGAAAUAUUGUGGCUCAACCACAAACGUGCAUCCAAAACUGCAAAGCUUGAGUUAAGGAGAGGUAAGUGGAAUUCCUGGUGUAGCGGUGGAAUGCGUAGAUAUCAGGAGGAAUACCGGUGGCGAAGGCGACUUACUGGACUUAAACUGACGCUCAGGCACUAAAGCGUGGGGAGCAAACAGG
rnacentral:rRNA from 1 species